AGUGGCCCAGGACAUCUCUCUUUCAAGGAGGCAACGGGGAUUCGAUUUCCCCUAGGGGUACUAUGCUAGGAAA
rnacentral:tRNA from 1 species